CCCGCCGGCAUUUUUUCUCCUCUUGGGUUGCUGCGAAACUAAAAGCCUAAAAUAGCCGAAGAAGCAAAAUGGUUAAGACAGUGAGAAUUUAUAUGUCCUGCAAUUAGGGUUUUCUGUAAAUGGGCCUGUUGGGCUUAUUUGCAUAUAUGCCCAUUUGGGUCCAAGAAGGUUUCUUAAUAAUUAAAUUUAAACCCCUGUAUUCUUGAUUCAUUACGGUUUAGCUCCUAACUAACACAAAAGUAGUCUGGUUGUAUGAUUGAAAAGACCUUUGUGUUCAUAACCAAAGCAACCUCAUGUAUCGUAAUACUACAACAUAGAAACACUACUUGAACAGACUAAAUUAUAAGUUAAUAAAAAAUGGC